rnacentral:tRNA from 2 species
GACACUUUGGCCGAGUGGUUUAAGGCGCAGGCCUGCUACUACAUUGUACUAGCUGUUUAGCCUGUGGGUUCGCCCGCCUGGGUUCGAGUCCCAGAGGUGUCG